UACGUAGGCAGCGAGCGUUGUUCGGAGUUACUGGGCGUAAAGGGUGCGUAGGUGGUCGUUUAAGUCCGUUGUGAAAUCCCUGGGCUCAACCUGGGAAUGGCAGUGGAUACUGGACGGCUAGAAUGCGGUAGAGGGUAGUGGAAUUCCCGGUGUAGCAGUGAAAUGCGUAGAGAUCGGGAGGAACACCAGUGGCGAAGGCGGCUACCUGGACCAGCAUUGACACUCAAGCACGAAAGCGUGGGGAGCAAACAGG
rnacentral:rRNA from 1 species